GGGGAUUUAGCUCAGUGACAUAAGCGCCUGCCUUGCAAGCAGGCAGUCAUGAUUUUGAUCCCCG
rnacentral:tRNA from 1 species